rnacentral:rRNA from 1 species
UACGUAGGGGGCAAGCGUUGUCCGGAUUUAUUGGGCGUAAAGAGCGUGUAGGCGGCUAUACAGGUCCGCUGUGAAAACUCGAGGCUCAACCUCGAGACGUCGGUGGAAACCGUAUGGCUAGAGUCCGGAAGAGGAGAGUGGAAUUCCUGGUGUGAGCGGUGAAAUGCGCAGAUAUCAGGAAGAACACCCGUGGCGAAGGCGGCUCUCUGGGACGGUACUGACGCUGAGACGCGAAAGCGUGGGGAGCGAACAGG